rnacentral:rRNA from 1 species
CACCUCUAGCAUCACAAGUAUUAGAGGCAUUGCCUGCCCAGUGACUUUCAAGUUAAACGGCCGCGGUAUCCUGACCGUGCAAAGGUAGCAUAAUCAUUUGUUCCCUAAUUAGGGACUAGCAUGAACGGCUAAACGAGGAUUCAACUGUCUCUUAUUCUAGAUCAGUGAAAUUGACCUUCCAGUGAAGAGGCUGGAAUAAAACAAUAAGACGAGAAGACCCUACGGAGCUUUAAUUAACUAGCUUAAUUAUAACCACUAAUCCCUAAUGGAAUAAAAACAUAAACAUUACGCUAACAAUUUCGGUUGGGGUGACCUCGGAGAACAAAAAAUCCUCCGAAUGAUUAUAGCAUAGACAGACAAGUCAAAGCAACCCACUAAAUCUCAUUGACCCAAAAUAAUUUGACCAACGGACCAAGUUACCCUAGGGAUAACAGCGCAAUCCUAUUUAAGAGUCCAUAUCGACAAUUAGGGUUUACGACCUCGAUGUUGGAUCAGGACACCCCAAUGGUGCAGAAGCUAUUAAAGGUUCGUUUGUUCAACGAUUAAAGUCCU